rnacentral:rRNA from 1 species
GACGAACGCUGGCGGCGUGCUUAACACAUGCAAGUCGAACGGAAAGGCCCUGCUUGCAGGGUACUCGAGUGGCGAACGGGUGAGUAACACGUGGGUGAUCUGCCCUGCACUUCGGGAUAAGCCUGGGAAACUGGGUCUAAUACCGGAUAGGAGCCAUUUUUAGUGUGAUGGUUGGAAAGUUUUUUCGGUGUAGGAUGAGCUCGCGGCCUAUCAGCUUGUUGGUGGGGUAAUGGCUUACCAAGGCGGCGACGGGUAGCCGGCCUGAGAGGGUGGACGGCCACCUUGGGACUGAGGGACGGCCCAGACUCGUACGGGAGGCAGCAGUGGGGAAUAUUGCACAAUGGGGGCAAGCCUGAUGCAGAGACGCCGCGUGGGGGAUGACGGCCUUCGGGUUGUAAACGCCUUUCGCUAGGGACGAAGCUUUUUGUGACGGUACCUAGAUAAGAAGCACCGGCUAACUACGUG